UGUGUCACGGUUAGGGAUGGGCAUCGAGAACCGGUUCUGUUUUAGAACCGGUUCCCAGUGAACCGAUUGUUUGGGAUCGUUAGCCAAAUUCUUUAACGGUUCUGCUAACGGUCCUCUGUGGCGUUGCGCAUGCGCAAACUUUUUUAGUUUCUUCAGACUGCAGCAAACAUGGCAACGAGGCAGAAGCGCUCUAAAGUUUGGCUCUAUUUCACAAGACAAAAUGACAACUACGCCACUUGUAACGUGUGUAAAAAGUCUAUUUCGUCGAAGGGAGGAAAUACAACUAAUAUGAAGAAGCAUUUGAACACGCAUGGAAUUAAAUGACAGGAAUGUCAUGUGUUCGAUGCAGCAGCUCAGCUAACGUCGGCGCUUCAUCUCUUUCUGUCCAAGCUGAUGAGGUUCAGAGUCAGACCGGUUCAGAGGCUGGUCGUCUGUCUGGGUCGCAGGCUACAGCUAGCACGUCUUGUACACCUCCUCAUAUCUUUGUGUUCAUCCUCCACCCCAUCUGAGAGAGUGUUCUCCACGGCUGGAGACACAAUAAGUCCUGAGAGAUCGCGUAUCCUCCCGGAGAAAGCAGACAUGCUUAUUUUUCUGCACAAGAAUUGUUGAUGAUCCAUACAAUUGAUGGUUGGACACUUGGUAUUUGCCACUGCUAGUUUCAUUUUUGGCAGCUCAGUUCAUAUACCCUUUAAAAAAAAGGAAGGAGCACUGUAAUUUCUAGGAACAUGUUUAAAUUAAACAGAAUACAUUUUAUUUAAGUUAUGUAAGUUUUAUUUUAAGUUCAAGAGUAAUAUCGUAUAAAUGUUUUUGGUUAUUUAAAAAAAGUAAAUGUGUAUGUAUACAUACUGUGUGUGUGCAGCAUUAUAUAAAAGAAAAUUAAUGUGAAUAAA